GCCCGGGUGGCGGAAUUGGUAGACGCACCUGACUUAAGAUCAGGCACCGAAAGGUAUAAGGGUUCGAGUCCCUUCCUGGGCACCA
rnacentral:tRNA from 1 species